rnacentral:rRNA from 1 species
GGUCAAGUUAUUAAGGGUGCAGGGCGGAUGCCUUGGCACUAGGAGCCGAUGAAGGACGUGAUAAGCUGCGAUAAGCUUCGGGGAGUUGCACGUAAACUUUGAUCCGAAGAUUUCCGAAUGAGGAAACUCACUUAGAGUAAUGUCUAAGUAUCAUUAAGUGAAUACAUAGCUUAAUGAGGGGAACUCAGGGAACUGAAACAUCUAAGUACCUGAAGGAAGAGAAAGAAAUUCGAUUCCGUAAGUAGCGGCGAGCGAACGCGGAUUAGCCCAAACCAAUAAAGUUUUCUUUAUUGGGGUUGCGGACAUAUCAUAACGAAGAGGUAUCGUAAUUGAAGAGGUUUGGAAAGACCCACCACAGAAGGUAAUAGUCCUGUAUGUUAAACGAGAAGACUUUAGAUAUGAUCCAGAGUACCACGGGACACGUGAAACCCUGUGGGAA